rnacentral:rRNA from 1 species
ACGUAGGGGGCGAGCGUUGUCCGGAUUUAUUGGGCGUAAAGAGCUCGUAGGCGGUUCGAUAAGUCGGACGUGAAAUCUCCACGCUCAACGUGGAGGGGCCGUUCGAUACUGUCGUGACUCGAGUCCGGUAGGGGAGUGUGGAAUUCCCGGUGUAGCGGUGGAAUGCGUAGAGAUCCGGAAGAACACCGGUGGCGAAGGCGGCCCGCUGGGCAGGAAGACGGAGCAAUCCGUCGGCUGACGCUGAGGCGCGACAGCGUGGGGAGCAAACAGGA